GAUCAUGGCUCAGGAUGAACGCUGGCGGCGUGCCUAACACAUGCAAGUCGAACGAUGAAACCGCCCCCGGGCGGACAUGAAGUGGCGAACGGGUGAGUAACACGUGACCGACCUGCCCCCCCGCCCAGGGACAGCCCCCCGAAAGGGGGAUUAAUACCUGGUACUCCGGGAGCGGCGCAUGCCGCCCCCGGGAAAGCUCCGGCGGCGGGGGAUGGGGUCGCGGCCCAUCAGGUAGACGGCGGGGCAGAGGCCCACCGUGCCGACGACGGGUAGCCGGG
rnacentral:rRNA from 1 species